rnacentral:rRNA from 1 species
GACAGAGGGUGCGAACGUUGUUCGGAAUUACUGGGCGUAAAGCGCAUGUAGGCGGCAGCGCAAGUCGGGCGUGAAAUCCCUCGGCUUAACCGGGGAACUGCGUCUGAUACUGGAUGGCUUGAGUUCGGGAGAGGGAUGCGGAAUUCCAGGUGUAGCGGUGAAAUGCGUAGAUAUCAGGAGGAACACCGGUGGCGAAGGCGGGACUCUGGGCCGAUACUGACGCUGAGGAGCGAAAGCGUGGGGAGCAAACAGG